AAAUGUAUUUUAAAGAAAAAUACAGUAUAGACAUUCGCGUAAAUAAUUCGCGUGAAAAUUGAAAAUCACUUCAGUCAUUCAUGCCCGAUUCAUCACAGACGCAAUACGAAAAUCAGAAUAACUCCUCUGCCGAAUUAUAUAGAGACUUAGUAAUACGUGAAAGUUAUAGAUGAAAUAAUUGCGAUAAAUUGAAGCAAUAGUUAUAACUCGUGGUUAUAGGAGUUGUAUCAAAAUCUGAAGACUCAUAAUGGUGGGCCAUGCGACUGACGGCGUCCACAAUACUUCGCCAUCGACCGUCCUCUCUUUAGCCCCGCGGAUCCAUAGAGAGCAAAAAUAAGUCUACUUAAAUUGUUUAUGGGUUAUCCGGUAAAUAUAGACUGUCCCUUAUUUUAAAACUUGCUAUAUUGUGACAAACAUUCGUUUAGAGAUCAGCACACGCGCUCGCAUAGGCCUCAGGUCCAAUGCCAGAAUAGAUAACACAAAAUGGCGCCGGAGUGGACCGUAGAAUUGCAGGUUUUCUCCUGCAUAAAUCGCCAGUGUCAAAAAUAAACCGUCACAUCGUUAUACAAGAAUUACUAUUUUUGUAUUUGCAGUUAUAAUAUAUUUGAUUUCACGUU